rnacentral:tRNA from 1 species
AGUGGGGUGGCUGAGAAUAAUAAGUAGGCGAUAGGCUGUAAAUCUAUUUAGGAGCGUUCACGUUGCUCUUCCACUA